CCUACGGGAGGCAGCAGUGGGGAAUAUUGCUCAAUGGGGGAAACCCUGAUGCAGCAACGCCGCGUGAGUGAUGAAGGUUUUCGGAUUGUAAAGUUCUUUUGUUAGAGAAGAUGAUGGCGGUUUCUUGCGAAUAAGCACACGGUAACUAAGUGGCAGGAGGCGCGGUAAUAAGGUGGGUGACAGCGUUAGUCGGAAUCAACGGGCGGAAAGAGCGAGGAGGCGGGAUAACAAGGUAGAUGUGAAAUACUAUGGAUUAACCAUAGCACUGCAUUUAAAAUUGUGAUGAUAGAGUAUGGGAGAGGGAGGUGGAAGUCUUGGUGGAGGGGUAAAAUGCGGAGAGAUCAAGAGGAAUAC
rnacentral:rRNA from 1 species